rnacentral:lncRNA from 1 species
CUCCAAGCCCCGCUUUGGGGUCCACCACCCAACGAACCCCCACUUUGGGGUCUCCACCCAACGUACCCCAACUUUGGGGUCUCCACCAUCCAAAAAACACCAACUUUGGGGUCUCCAACCCCAAAUUUGGGGUCCACCACCCAACAAACCCCAACUUUGAGGUCCACCACCCAACGUACCCGAACUUUGGGGUCUCCAACCCCCACUUUGGGGCCCACCCCCCAACAAACCCCAACUUUGGGGUCACUACCACCCAAUGAACUCCAACUUUGGGGUCUUCACUACCCAACAAACCCCAACUUUGGGGUCUCCAACCUCAAGUCUGGGGCCCACCACUCAAUGUACCCCAACUUUGGGGUCCACCACUCAACGUACCCCAACUUUGGGGUCUCCAGCUUCAACACUGGGGUCUCCAACCCCCACUUUGGGGCCCACCACCCAACAAACCCCAACACCACCCAACGUACCCCAACUUCGAGGUCCACCACCCCAUGUACCCCAACUCUGGGGCCUACUACCCAAAAAACCCCAACUUUGGGGUCACUACCGCUCAAAGAACUCCAACUUUGGGGUCUCCAACCCCAACCUUGGGGGUCCACCACCCAAUGUACCCCAACUUUGGGGUCUCCAACCCCAACUUUGGAGGUCCGCUACCCAACAACCCCCAACUUCGGGGUCUCCACCACCCAACGUACCCCCACUUUGGGGUCCACCACCCAAUGUACCCCCACUUCAGGCUCUCCACCCCCCAAACUCCCCCCAUCUUCAGGCUCUCCACCCCCCACCCCCCAACUUUGGGGUCUCCAAGUCCCGCUUUGGGGUCCACCACCCAAUGAACCCCAACUUUGGGGUCCACCACCCAAUGAACCCCAACUUUGGGGUCUCCACCAUCCAAAAAACACCAACUUUGGGGUCUCUAACCCGAGCUUUGGGGCCCACCACCCAAUGUACCCCAACUUUGGGGUCUCCACCACCCAAUGUACCCCAACUUUGGGGUCCACCACCCAACGAACCCCAAC